GACGAACGCUGGCGGCGUGCUUAACACAUGCAAGUCGAACGGUAAGGCUCCAGCUUGCUGGGGUACACGAGUGGCGAACGGGUGAGUAACACGUGGGUGACCUGCCCUGCACUUCGGGAUAAGCCUGGGAAACUGGGUCUAAUACCGGAUAGGACCGCACCGUGAGGGUGUGGUGGAAAGUUUUUUCGGUGUGGGAUGGGCCCGCGGCCUAUCAGCUUGUUGGUGGGGUAAUGGCCUACCAAGGCGGCGACGGGUAGCCGGCCUGAGAGGGUGGACGGCCACAUUGGGACUGAGACACGGCCCAGACUCCUACGGGAGGCAGCAGUGGGGAAUAUUGCACAAUGGGCGGAAGCCUGAUGCAGCGACGCCGCGUGGGGGAUGACGGCCUUCGGGUUGUAAACUCCUUUCACCAUCGACGAAGGGUUUCUGACGGUAGAUGGAGAAGAAGCACCGGCUAACUACGUGCCAGCAGCCGCGGUAAUACGUAGGGUGCGAGCGUUGUCCGGAAUUACUGGGCGUAAAGAGCUCGUAGGUGGUUUGUCGCGUCGUCUGUGAAAUUCCGGGGCUUAACUCCGGGCGUGCAGGCGAUACGGGCAUAACUUGAGUACUGUAGGGGAGACUGGAAUUCCUGGUGUAGCGGUGAAAUGCGCAGAUAUCAGGAGGAACACCGGUGGCGAAGGCGGGUCUCUGGGCAGUAACUGACGCUGAGGAGCGAAAGCAUGGGGAGCGAACAGGAUUAGAUACCCUGGUAGUCCAUGCCGUAAACGGUGGGCGCUAGGUGUGGGUUUCCUUCCACGGGAUCCGUGCCGUAGCUAACGCAUUAAGCGCCCCGCCUGGGGAGUACGGCCGCAAGGCUAAAACUCAAAGGAAUUGACGGGGGCCCGCACAAGCGGCGGAGCAUGUGGAUUAAUUCGAUGCAACGCGAAGAACCUUACCUGGGCUUGACAUAUACAGGAUCGCGCCAGAGAUGGUGUUUCCCUUGUGGCUUGUAUACAGGUGGUGCAUGGUUGUCGUCAGCUCGUGUCGUGAGAUGUUGGGUUAAGUCCCGCAACGGGCGCAACCCUUGUCUUAUGUUGCCAGCACGUUGUGGUGGGGACUCGUAAGAAACUGCCGGGGUUAACUCGGAGGAAGGUGGGGAUGACGUCAAAUCAUCAUGCCCCUUAUGUCCAGGGCUUCACACAUGCUACAAUGGUCGGUACAGUGGGUUGCCAGUCCGUGAGGGCGAGCUAAUCCCGCAAAGCCGGUCUCAGUUCGGAUCGGGGUCUGCAACUCGACCCCGUGAAGUCGGAGUCGCUAGUAAUCGCAGAUCAGCAACGCUGCGGUGAAUACGUUCCCGGGCCU
rnacentral:rRNA from 1 species